rnacentral:rRNA from 1 species
AAACCAGCACCCCAAGUGGUCAGGAGGAUUAUUGGGCCUAAAGCAUCCGUAGCCUGCGUUGUAAGUUUCCGGUUAAAUCCAUUAGCUUAACUGAUGGGCCGCCGGAAAAACUGCAAAGCUAGGGAGUGGGAGAGGUAGACGGUACUCGGUAGGAAGGGGUAAAAUCCUUUGAUCUAUUGAUGAACACCUGUGGCGAAGGCGGUCUACCAGAACACGUUCGACGGUGAGGGAUGAAAGCUGGGGGAGCAAACCGGAUUAGAAACCCCAGUAGUCC